rnacentral:miRNA from 1 species
AUAUACGGGGGAGACUCUUCU